GUCAUAGUGAGAGCUCUGAGUGGCCUCAUGUUAGGUCAUUUGAAAUGUGUUUCUACUGUCAUUUCUACUUCAGUAUUCACAUGUGAAAGAGGUUUCUUCUACAGGAAACUGACAGAUUUACAAAACGAGAAACAAGGAUGAGGCGCACACUUUUUGAGAUGAGAAAUUGUUCUGAGGUUGCAACACCUCAUGAUGAAGAAGGAGCUGAUCGUCACUCAUGCAGGACAGGGGAGUCCCAUGUCCCGCAGAGUGAUGAUGAAUAUAUACCUGAUGGGCU